CCUGGCAAUUGCUCUUCCACUUGGCUUCUGGUACCUCCAGAAUUCCCACCAUCCUCCAACCAUGAAGAUCUUCUGCCUCCUCUCUGUUGCUGUCCUCUUCUUGAUGCUGCUGGCUCCAGAUUUCACCAGAGCCCAAGCUCAAUGUCCUAAUCGGAGAUGUCAACAGCUCGGAGGGAGAUGCGUAAGACGGUGCCCUAGGCCAAUUGCUCGCUGUACAGGAGGCCGAGUGUGUUGCCGUCGCAGUUUUCAGAACCACCACCAACACCACCAACACCAACAGGAUACUAACUCGGCAGAUCUCCAGUAGAGGACCUCUGGUGAAAGGAAGACCACCCUGCUCUCCUCUGAUGUGCAGCUGCCUCGACUGCACCCCCAUCUCUGCUGGGGAAGAAACCGCUUUGCUUGAUGCUGCUGAAGGCGAUGCUGGGAAGGAGUCAAGAGGGAGCCAUCCUGUCUGCCUGUCUACUCAUGAGUAAGCCCACUGUGGCCAGUGGGUCCUGACUCCUUAGUAAAUGGGCUCAGGAUUGGAGCCUGGAUUUGGUUUGCCUGCAAAAAUGCUUUAGCUUCUUCUUUUUAAUAAAUGCAAGCAUUGGAAAACUUUG